ACUGGCAGCUAGCUCUCUGCAACUCACACAUGGUCGCCCACUGAAGCUAAGCAGGGCUGCGCCCGGUCAGUACAUAGAUGGGAGACCACAUGGGAAAGCGGAAGUGGUGUUAGUG
rnacentral:rRNA from 1 species